AUUGAACGCUGGCGGCAGGCUUAACACAUGCAAGUCGAACGAGUGGCGGACGGGUGAGUAAUGCUUGGGAAUCUAGCUUAUGGAGGGGGAUAACUACGGGAAACUGUAGCUAAUACCGCGUACCAUCGGAUGAGCCCAAGUGGGAUUAGGUAGUUGGUGAGGUAAAGGCUCACCAAGCCGACGAUCUCUAGCUGGUCUGAGAGGAUGACAAGACACAAAGGAACAGAGACACGGCGCAGACUCCUAAGGGAAGCAGGAGUGGGGAAUAUUGCGAAAUGGGGGCAAACUGACGCAGACAUGCCAGGUGAAUGAAGAAGGCCUUCGGGUUGUAAAGGUAUUUCGGUAGAGAGGGGUUAACUACAGAAAAAGCACCGGCUAACUCCGUGCCAGCAGCCGCGGUAAUAC
rnacentral:rRNA from 1 species